AUUAGGGAUUAAUAGUACGAGUGAUGUUUGGAAAUUUUGCCAAAUUUCCAAAAUUGCGGCAAAUUUCCAAACAUCACGAGUACUAUUAAUCCCUAA